ACACAAGGCUCUCCUUGACGGGGACUGGCGUGUGGCUGGAGGCAGUACAAAACCUCUUCCAAAGUAAAUUUGAAGCUACUAAUUGCACUUGUGGGCUGGAGUUUGCCCAGGAAGUGAAUCCGUGGAGACUUGUUGGGGUUUAAGUUUGCUGAGGAUUUGUGAGCAGAAAUCAAUGUCGAGUCUGUGCUCUCAAAGUCGCCUCGGAACCCCACCCUCUCUCGAUUUGGUUCCCAGGUCGGCUCACCUGCCGCUCGGUGGCUUUCCAGAAGUAGAAGGCGCCGAUGGCCCCGGCCAGCAGCAGGAGGGCUCCAGCGAUCAGCACCGCCGCCCCCGCCUUCAGCAACCGCCCUGCGCCGGGCGCCGCCGCCGCCGCCGUGUACGUCUGUGGAGAGCGCGGGGCUGGGUGCCAGGCAGGGCAGGGACCCCCCUGGCUGGCAGAGACCCCGGCCCAGCAGUGACCACUCCUCCCCGGGGAUCCUGGUCGGGUCGGAUCCCAUCCUAACUCGGCCCGGCCCGACUGUACGACUUGCGACACCCCGUCCCACCCAACGCCCGUCCUAACAGGACCCGGCUGGUCCUGCUCGCACCCGAUAACCAUCUGUUUGGGCCAGAUCCGAUUCUUUUUUGUCCCGUUCAACCCCAUCCCAUUUCGACCCCACCCGACCCAUUCUGCUCCGUCCCGAACUGUUCGGUGCGGAUCCGGCCCGGCCCGUUUUGUCCCUGGCUGACCCGUUCUGCCCCGCUGUUUCACCGUAAUUCCGCCCCUUCUCGUCCCGCCCGGUGCCGCUCGGCAGCACUCACGGGGGGCAAGCACUGCUCCACAUCGUCGGGCCCCGCUCGGGCGAUGGGCACCUUCUCAGAGCCCUCUGCCAUGGCUGCCGCACGUUACGGAGCUGCCUCCG